rnacentral:lncRNA from 1 species
AAAAAUGGUGAGAAAAUUUGUCAAACCUUGUUUGACCAUGUUAGACUUAUGAUGAUCCAAUUGGACUUAUCCAAGUUGAUUUGAAUUGGAUUUGAAGUUUGACCUUUAUUUGUUCAUUUUUCUUUAAUUCCAAGAAAUACCAAAAAUAUGUUUGACCUUUCUUGACUUCUAAUCUUCAUUUCACUUCUGUUUACCAUUGAUUGAUGUUGAUUCUAUUCAUGUUUGAUCAAUGUGUUUUGGUUAUGUC